rnacentral:rRNA from 1 species
GAUGAACGCUGGCGGCGUGCCUAACACAUGCAAGUCGAACGAGGUAAAUAAGUUGAAGUUUUCGGAUGGAUUCUUAUUUACCGAGUGGCGGACGGGUGAGUAACGCGUGGGUAACCUGCCUCAUACAGGGGGAUAACGGUUAGAAAUGACUGCUAAUACCGCAUAAGCGCACAGUACCGCAUGGUACGGUGUGAAAAACUCCGGUGGUAUGAGAUGGACCCGCGUCUGAUUAGCUAGUUGGUGAGGUAACGGCCCACCAAGGCGACGAUCAGUAGCCGACCUGAGAGGGUGACCGGCCACAUUGGGACUGAGACACGGCCCAG